AUUGAACGCUGGCGGCAUGCUUUACACAUGCAAGUCGAACGGUAACAGGUUAAGCUGACGAGUGGCGAACGGGUGAGUAAUGCAUCGGAACGUGCCCGAUCGUGGGGGAUAACGCAGCGAAAGCUGCGCUAAUACCGCAUACGAUCUGAGGAUGAAAGCGGGGGACCGUAAGGCCUCGCGCGAUCGGAGCGGCCGAUGUCAGAUUAGGUAGUUGGUGGGGUAAAGGCUCACCAAGCCGACGAUCUGUAGCUGGUCUGAGAGGACGACCAGCCACACUGGGACUGAGACACGGCCCAGACUCCUACGGGAGGCAGCAGUGGGGAAUUUUGGACAAUGGGCGAAGGCCUGAUCCAGCAAUGCCGCGUGCAGGAAGAAGGCCUUCGGGUUGUAAACUGCUUUUGUACGGAGCGAAAAGGCUCUCUCUAAUACAGGGGGCUCAUGACGGUACCGUAAGAAUAAGCACCGGCUAACUACGUGCCAGCCGCCGCUGUAA
rnacentral:rRNA from 1 species